rnacentral:rRNA from 1 species
UACGGAGGAUGCAAGCGUUAUCCGGAUUUAUUGGGUUUAAAGGGUGCGCAGGUUGUUUAAUAAGUCAGUGGUGAAAGUCUGUCGCUUAACGGUAGGAUUGCCAUUGAUACUGUUGGACUUGAAUAUGGAUGAGGUAGGCGGAAUGUGUAGUGUAGUGGUGAAAUGCAUAGAUAUUACACAGAACACCGAUUGCGAAGGCAGCUUACUAAUCCAUCAUUGACGCUGAGGCACGAAAGCGUGGGGAUCAAACAGGA